UGCAUCUUCUCCUAGACCCCAUUUAAGGGCUGACUGCCACUGGGGAAGGAUCUCUUUCUGGAGAUUCCUCAUCUGUGGAGUCUUUCCUGCAAACCUAGAUCUUCAGAUACAGGGAAGGAUAUGCAUCAGUUCAGCUCCAUUCUGAAGCUUGUUAAACCUGUUCCAUACCUGGGUUUUAGGCUGUCUUCACUUAAGGGCCUUUGAGUCCUCUCCUGCACUGUGUAGUUAGUAGCUAUCAGUGGACAUCUGGUGUGUUAUCCCCAUCCCUGCAGAAAUGGGUUUAUUGUGCUUGCUGCGGAAAAGGGCUUAUGUUGAAGAAAAGACUGAAUCCCUACCUUCUAUAUAUGAAAUGCAUUCCAUACAUUGAGAGCAGGCAGCCAGGCUGGAUCACCAGCAGUGUACCUGCUCAGCAAGCACGGCAGCUCCAGAGGAUGUAGAAGUGAAAAAACAAGCUGUGGCAGGCAGCUGGGGCAAAUGAAUGAGAAGGGAAAUGGCAAAAGAGCAAACCAGUGGGACACAUCAGCACAGGUGAAUUUAUUUCUUGUCCACAUCAAAAUGCAGAGACUGCUCCAUUCAUCAGGUCCAUGGCAUACAAAGGAGAUACUAUCAGCAUGUAUCUUCUAUCCUAGCAAGGAAAACUGAGAAUCAGAAGAAGCAUUCAGCAAGCAAACAGGAACAGAUGCCUGAAAGAUCUCGUAUCAGCAGAUAUAGUAUCAAUAAACCAGUAAGUAACAAAUGACAGCACUGACAUCUUUCCUAUACGUACUGAAAUACAAGCCCAGCCAAUGAUGACAUCUGACUCUAAGAACGAGUUCAGAAAGACUCCACUGGGGGCUGGGACAUGAUGAACAUAUGACAGAACAGUGAUAAUAAGCAUCGUGCCCCUUGCCCACAACAAACUUCUCUUCUGAAUAGACAGAUGUCAAUUUGACCCAAUUGGUUUUUAAAAAGAGCUCAUUUUGUAAUGCAUAUCUGUGUAUCUCUCUUUCUCUUCUUUAAGUGUAUGUAAACACACAUAAGCAGAUACAAAUGUCUAUUUCUGUCCUCAGGGUGGAAUGGCUUGUAGGUAAAAUACCUGUAAACGAAGCCUCCUCCCAACAGUCCCAGGUAUGCACUGCAGAUGCUGUUGCAAAGGACAGAAGCAUCAGCACCAUUCACCUUGUGUUUUCUUGUCCUUGUAUUCAAGAAAAAAUCUCCCUAUAAUUAGAAAGCAGAAUUAGUACUGAAACAAUUUUCACAUCACUGGUCCUUCAGCCUCCUCAGAUAUUAUUUGUGGUAUCUGCUUUCUUGCAAGAGGAUGGGACCAAAUAAAAGCAAUCACAAGGAUGGAAAUGUUCUCAGCAGGAGGAAAAGGGAUUAUAAAAAAGCAGAGGAAAAUGACUUCUGAAUGUUUUGUAGUCCUGAGCAUCCAUAUGCCAUUUGAGCUAUGUAGAGUGUUAACAGAUCUAAAAAUAAAGAAUACAUUAUUUAUUAACUUAUUAGAGCUUUUAGAAAAUAGGAGCUGAAUUCACUUAGCUAAUAAGCUACCUCAGAUCACAUCCAUUGGAAGAUAUAUUCGUAUGAAUUGGAUGAGGUGUGCAUUUGGUCUUUAUGAGGCCACUUAGGAACCUAAAGUUACUUUUUUCUUCUAGGAAAAAUACACGGAAUAGUUCCAUUUUCAAAUAUUUUAUGAAGUCUAUAUGCUAUUCUAUAUCUGCCCCUGUCCAUGCUCUUCCCUACAUAAGUUUGUGUAAUUCCAGUUUUAUUUCAGAACAAGAUUUGUUUGUAAUCUGAAGGAUGUGAUAUCACAGAGCAGAUUAAAGCAAGAAAAUAUGCUGUUGAGAACAUAGCAUGAAGGCUAUUUACUGGGGGUCUCAUGAUCUUCCAGCCCUUUAUGAUGAGCAGAACAAGCCAGUGAAUGUACCAGGAUGUAAAGAGUUUACAGUCUUGACAGCAUGGACCUGCUCUCUCAGACCACAUUCCCGCACAGCCUGCAUUUAUAUUCAUGUCUCUGUCUAGCUAUGCUGAAUGGAGGGAGAUUAGCAAGGUGGGCUAGAGUGCUGUCAUGGUGUCUUGUGCUGCGGUCAGAUGUCUUUUGCAGUCCAAGGAAAGAGCUUCACGGGUUCCUGGAGAGGCCUGGUCUGUCUCCGCACUGCUCUGAAGGAUAUAGGCCAGGUUCAGAAGCAAGGCACGGGUCUUGAAUAUUUUCAUAAUUUUUGCAUUAACUAGCAAAGUGAGAACUACUCUUGUUAAAAGUCAUUUCAUCCGCAUACAUGGAGGUUACAUCAAAGGCAACAGGAGAUGAGGACUUCAGAGUCUAUGCUGCCUUUUCCGGGCUGUUAGGCUGGAUAAUCCUGGAAAAGGCUUCCCUUUAGUCCAAGGCAAAUUCAGAGUAGGAGCCCAGGCCUAGUCUUCCACAGGUACUGAGUAAAGCUCUGCUCUUACCCUUCUCCCAUGCUCCAGCCGUUCAUUUCCCUGACCUGGUGACAAUCAUCCCUGCUCUGCACACCUGGGCCAACUCAGGAUGAACCACUUGUAUGGAGAAGAAGGGCAGACAAGGAGAAAGGACGUAUCAGAAUUAUGGAGAUCAUCUUCCGCAAAGGGAAAAAUCCUUGAUGAAGAAGAAAGGCCAUAAACUACAUAAAAGUUUAUUUAGUGACUAAGGAGGAAGAGAAAAAACAUAUAUAUUCUCUACAGCUCUUACUUUCAAUACAUGCAUUACAUAUUAUUUAUUUACAUAAUUACCCAUUGGUAUAGCUUUUUUUACAACUUCACUUGGAAAACUAUGCUGUGCGUUGGCCUAAGCAUCCAGUCUGAAUGCAGAAGUGCCAUCUGGGUGCCUAGAAAUAAUUUCUGGUGCCAUUGGUCAAUUUUAAUUGUAUUUGACAGGCUGAUGUUUGAGAGAGGAAGUUUCUUCCAGUUAUUUCAAGCAAACAGUGGGUAGGUACAACAAACACCAGUGGCUGUUCCAGGCUGAAAGCUAAACUCAGCCUUAGAGAAAAGAAGAGGGCUUUACCUCUUAGUGUAGGCUUUAUGUUUUUUGUGAUGCAUAGAAUUACUUAUUGUAUGAUUUGCUUUCAUUACAUUUUUUCCAGAUGUCCAGAUAUUGUAGCAUGCAAUGUAAUUGAAAGAACAACCAUUACCCGUGUUUU